CCGUUGUUUCCAGAAUUUGCAACUGCUUUCUUGUUAAAUUUGUUCAAGGUUGAGGUCCUCUUAUUAUGCAGAUGGUACAGAUAGUGAUUUUGUCUAACUGUACUUUUUAUUACUAUCAAGCAUGAGUACUGUACAUGAGCUGCUUAGUUCAUACAGCAUACAAGAAAACAUAAACAAGUUGUUCACUAUGUUUUACUCUUUACAUUUUCUACGCGUCCAAUUACCCCUCUGAACUAGCCGGGAAUGGAUUUAUCACACCGUAUGUGCUGACAUGGCAUAGAGAGUGAUUACACUCUUACAACACCAUGAGAGACUGUAAAAGAGCACUGCCUUGACCGAUUACUGAUGAAGGCCAGCCAUUCUAAGUUCUGAGGUUUGGUCGAAUAGGCCGAUUGGAUCUGAUCAUAGCUUCGAGUUCAGGUGCCUCCUGCAGCUAGCUAACUCACGUGCAGCUUCACCAAGAUCAAUUCCACAAAUAUCAGAAAGUCUGACAAGAUGAAGAAAUUUAGUUGUCAGCAAAAUCCUGAAUAACCCAAAAGAACACAUUGAGAUUUCAGAUUUUCAAGAGGCACACUUGUAUAAGAUCAUAUAUCAACAAUCUGGAAAUCUUCCUUUUCUCUACAUAACAAUCUAUUGUUUUAUCACGUGUACAUUAGGUAGACCAUCUACAUCAUACCCUUGGGAUGCAACCCUUUCUCGGACCCUGCUAAUGCAGGAUGAUUUGUGCACUGGGCUAUCCCUUUUAUUGUUUUGUUAUCUAUUGUUUUAUAACUACUUCUAAUGAUACAAAGUGCAAACGAGGCCACAAAUAUGGAGAUGCAGAAGACCAUUAAAGCUGCAAACCAAUGAUGGCAAAACUGCUAUAUUAUUAUUAUUCCCUGUAAGAGCUACCACUGCUGUCUGUAAUAUACAUAUUGAGAUGAUGCCCCACCAUCUAAGAAAUUCCAAAUGUGUCACAUAGCCAGCGUACAAGAAAUUCCAAAAGAAAAUAUAUAAGUAAAGGGAUUGUAGAAAGAUUGCAUGCUGCUGCAACAUGAAAUUUUAUAACAAUUGAAAACUAAAAAGCAUAUGAAUAAGGAUGAGAAAUGUACCUCGGAAAAGGAUCUUCCAAGAGAAUGCUAUGUAGAUGCAAGUUCGGGUAGAAAUUAGAGGAAGAAUCCAUAUUUCAAGCCAGCGAAUCCAUAUACGACUUAAUGUUCAUUAUAUCUACUCUGGACUUUGGGUUAUUUUGUGGUAUGAAAAGCUUCCACAUCCCCACUGGAUGUUGACUUCUCGCUUCAGUAUCUCUUGAAAAUCUUGCAUACAUUGAUUCACACUCUGGAUAAGGCUUUACAUAUAGAUUAUAAAAUUUCACUCUACUCGGUUUAAUCAACUCUCUCAACCCCACCUCAUCACCAAGUCCUCCUAUUGAUCUUAAGUGGUCAAUUACCUUGAAUCUUGGUAGAAUAUGUUUAUCGAAAUUCACCCCAAGGUACUCAGGAACUUCAACAAGACAUUGAAUAUCAAAUUUCAUCACGUGCAACAAAAACUCAAUCUUCCUCUCAACAUCAUCUAAGCUAUAAAGUAUCACUCUCGGCUCUUUCCAUAACACAGAAUAAGCAUCCCUUAAGGUUAUCCCGUGAUUGCGCAAGCAAUCAACCCUUAGUUUCACCUCAUACCCAGCCUUAAAAGCCCCAUCUUGAAAAAUAUCCUUCUUAAUAGCUUCCCUACAUUUCAAACUCUUAAGCAGCUCCAAACACCGCGAUAACUCCCCAAAUUCAAAUGCAAGAAUUCUAGGAUCUCUCAGAAGCUGUUUCUUAACCACCUCCAUGUUAAAACCCAGAGCUCUAAAUUCAUCAAGCAAUCGUUUAAACUUAUUUUGAAAUCCAUAGACCAAAACAGCCGGAUAGACACGGAGAAUGCGAUCGAAUUCAACAUUGCCAAUCCCAAAGGCAUCAACGACAAAUUCAAAACUGUCACGAACCUUGUCUGCAGACAUCGUAAUUACCAUGGGAUGCGUCUCCAAAACCUUAUUUAGAGUAAUAUCACUAACCCCUAAAUCCUUCAGACAUUUCAAAGACCCCAAAACACAAUCAUAAUCUAGUUCAAAUUUCAUUGAGACCUCCAGAAUAUUCCGAAUAGCCAAGGAGGAUAAAUUGGACCCUUCUUCGAAUCCUCGCAUGCAUCCUUCCCAUUUCUUUAUAGCAUCAUAUUCUAGAACCCUGGGACAACUACUUAUCAUGGAUACAAGGAAUUCUUGAGAUGGUUUCAAGGAUAAUAGAAUCUUAAGGGAAUUUUCAAUUUUGGCGGGGUCUAGAUUUAGUAAACGACGAUUCUUCUUGAGAAAAUUAGUAAGUUCUAGAGCUGGAAAACCAUAUUUUUUUAGAAGACAUGACACUGCAAUGAGAUUUCUUUGGGGAGAUUUUUCUUGGAAUUGUAGAGGAUAUUGAACUUGAGAUUUUCUUUUUACAGUUGUUGUGUUAGUGCAAAAACAGCGGAGACUUGGAUUUGGAAUUAGAGUAGAGGGAUUAGAAAAUGACAUAAAAAAGAUUCUGAUACUCCUACUGGUCAUGGUUUCAGCUGGUUAGUAAGUUUUAAAAGGUAUCUGAUCACCUAUCCGCAUUCAAACGCAUUGAUGGCCUAAUGAACAACCCUCAAAAUCUGAAAAAAUUGAUUAAAACACGUAAGUAUAACUAUGGUUCUAGUAAACUUCGUAAAGUAACAAUUAACAGUCUCUCUGUGUGAGAAAAUAUAAACUGCACAUUUAGCUACCCCGGAACAUGUUUAAAUUGUAUCCUUCCACCCAGUUCUGCAGUUUAGUCGCAUAUUCUCUUAACACCACCCGCAACUAGGAAUAGAAAAUAUUCCACUCAACUCACAUGUAAGAAUUGAAUAAGUUGAAAUAUUCAUUACUGUUAUCUUGAAAGGCUUACUACCUCUUUAAUUAGUAGCAAAUAAGUGAAAAGGUUUCUUCUUUUCCUUUUCCUUUUCUCUCGCAUUAACAUAACUCGACUAUAACUUACAUUAAGGGGUGUCAAAUUAAUGGGGUUGAGCUGAAACUAUGUCAGUUAAAUGGGCUAAAUCAACAAAUGAGCAUGUCGUAACCCGAAAAGAUCCUCUUAUCAGAUUACUACUAGCUAACAUCAGAUAAGCACAACACAACACAACAUUAGAUGAGUACAACACACAAAAGAUACUUCCAGUAAAACACGACAAUACGACCACAGAAUAACCAAAUUAGUUCAGAUUACACUAGCUUUUGGUCGAGCAUUUUCAGAUUCCAUCUGCGAUACGUUACAAUCAUAUAACCUAUAGAUAAACUAGCAGCAUAACCUUCAGAAAGCUAAAUCCACUAAAAUAUACAAGGGGAAGGAAAUUAAAGGAUUAAAAUACAGAAUCAUUGCCACCAAGUUUGAAUCCUUACAAAUUCAAAUCCACAAAAAUCAACAAGGCUAAGGAAGAUAAGAAACAAAUUACAAGACCCAUUGCCACAAAGUUUGAUUCUUUAGUAAUUCAAGUGACUCAGCAUAACCUUCAGAAAGCUAAAUGCACAAAAAUCAACAAGGGGAAAGAAAAUCAAGAGAUAAAUUACAGAACCCAUUACCACAAAGUUUGAAUCUUUACUAAUUCAAGUGACUUAUCAUAACCUCAAGAAAGCUAAAUCCACAAAAAUCAACAAGGGGCAGAAAAAUCAAGAAACAAAGAGUAUUACCCAUUGCCGCAAAGUUUGAGUCUUUACUAAUUCAAGUGACUUAAAACAAAUUGCUAAAACCAUAACUCAAAGAUUUUAGGGAUUGUUUAUAAGAAUUACCUGAAAUCAGAAGAAUCUUAGGAGAAUGGCGAUUACACUGUUAGGGCUUUUUACCAUACAGAGUACCAUCAACCUUUGAAAGCAUUUUUUUAAGGCAUAAAACACAUUUUGUCAAAUAAUAAACAAAAAUUUAGAUGGUUAACUCGAGAGUUAAAUUACUAUAAUAUUCAUAAUUAAAAGUAUUACUUCAUUUUAAUUGUUAAAUUAC
rnacentral:lncRNA from 1 species